UAAAAAUACAUUAACGAGGUAUUCCCAGCUCUUCAAUUAAUAAUGGUGAAUGACUGAUUCAUGAUUUUCAAACAUUCACCCAAAUUUUAAAAAAGAAGAAAAGGCUAAUACCAGCAAAAUCUAUCAGUGGUUUGUUCCCCAGGUUAACAAUUUGAGAGAGACUACAAACGACUCCAGGAGCCCUGGCUUCCCCGCACCAUGCACUGCAUCUAGUCAGCAUGAGGUCAGCAAAACGAAUCAAUGAAACAUGAAAACUCCCAGCUGAGAUGGGCCCUCUUGUGUACGUCUAGCCACUAAUGCACAGGAUGAGAAUGCGCUCUCUGUCUCCUUCAAUGGUGCCGCCAUCCAACCUACUUCCUCCAGCAUAAGAUCCUGGGAGGGACCUGAAACCUCACUCUGUUUCGUUCUCCACAUUCAAUCCAUCAAUUCUGCUUCUGAAGUUCUUCCAUCUGCUCACUUCAUGACCCCCAUCUACUUCCCUACACCCCCUGGAGAUCCCUCCACGGCCUCUAGUCUAGUCUCUGAGCUUACAAAAACCUUCUACUUUGUCUUGGCAUGCCGACUUCUAUCCUUACAAGCCAUUCUUCAUGCUACAGAGAGUGAUCUUUACAAAUAAAGUCUGAAAGUCUUAUCUCCUUACUCCUCUU